rnacentral:tRNA from 1 species
GUCAGGAUGGCCGAGCGGUCUAAGGCGCUGCGUUAAGGUCGCAGUCUCCUCUGGAGGCGUGGGUUAAAAUCCCACUUCUGACA